rfam:Schistosoma haematobium scaffold232_16, whole genome shotgun sequence.
AGCAUUUCCAACCCGUGCAGAGAUUUCAUCAGACACCAACCCACUAUGUCUGAUCAGACUUCCUAGAUAAGUGAAGCU